UACGUAGGGUGCGAGCGUUGUCCGGAAUUAUUGGGCGUAAAGAGCUCGUAGGCGGUUUGUCGCGUCUGCUGUGAAAACCUAAGGCUCAACCUUGGGCUUGCAGUGGGUACGGGCAGACUAGAGUGCGGUAGGGGUGACUGGAAUUCCUGGUGUAGCGGUGGAAUGCGCAGAUAUCAGGAAGAACACCAAUGGCGAAGGCAGCUCUCUGGGACGGUACUGACGCUGAGACGCGAAAGCGUGGGGAGCGAACAGG
rnacentral:rRNA from 1 species